rnacentral:rRNA from 1 species
UACGUAGGGGGCAAGCGUUGUCCGGAAUUAUUGGGCGUAAAGAGCUCGUAGGCGGUCUGUCGCGUCGGCUGUGAAAUCCCGAGGCUCAACCUCGGGUCUGCAGUCGAUACGGGCAAACUGGAGUGUUGCAGGGGAGACUGGAAUUCCUGGUGUAGCGGUGAAAUGCGCAGAUAUCAGGAGGAACACCAGUGGCGAAGGCGAGUCCCUGGACAACUUCUGACGCUGAGGCACGAAAGCUAGGGGAGCAAACAGG